rnacentral:rRNA from 1 species
GAUGAACGCUGGCGGCGUGCCUAAUACAUGCAAGUCGAGCGAACAGACGAGGAGCUUGCUCCUCUGACGUUAGCGGCGGACGGGUGAGUAACACGUGGAUAACCUACCUAUAAGACUGGGAUAACUUCGGGAAACCGGAGCUAAUACCGGAUAAUAUAUUGAACCGCAUGGUUCAAUAGUGAAAGACGGUUUUGCUGUCACUUAUAGAUGGAUCCGCGCCGCAUUAGCUAGUUGGUAAGGUAACGGCUUACCAAGGCAACGAUGCGUAGCCGACCUGAGAGGGUGAUCGGCCACCUUGGAACUGAGACACGGUCCAUACUCCUACGGGAGGCAGCAGUAGGGAAUCUGCCGCAAUGGGCGAAAGCCUGACGGAGCAACGCCGCGUGAGUGAUGAAGGUCUUCGGAUCGUAAAACUCUGUUAUUAGGUAAGAACAAAUGUGUAAGUAACUAUGCACGUCUUGACGGUACCUAAUCAGAAAGCCACGGCUAACUACGUG